AACCAACACUCCUUCCUGGAAAGAGCAAAGCGUUCCUUUUUGGGGCUUUCCUCAUUGAAUCUGACCUGUCGUCACCACCUGGGAGUGUCUGAUGGUGUUCCGUUGAAAAUCAUGUUUCCCCGACCCCCAAGCCCAUCAAGGACACAGCAAGGCACAAACGGGCCCAGAGAGAGCAGAAGUGCCUCGUCCCAGAACUCUCUGAAGAAGCAACUUGGCGAAGCUCCCUGUUUCCAGCUCACCCUUCUUUUAGCCGCUCUUUCAGGGAUGAGGUGACCGUGGAAAAAAAGAAGCAUCAUGAGAAUUCACUCAGCAAAGCUCACAGUGGAAAAUGGGUCACAGGGUGACCACAGUGAGUCAUUCUGGAUGGGGUACAGAACACACAAAACCACCCCACACACAACCACCCCACACUGCCUGGGUUCUUGGGAAUUUCCAGUGGGAAGUCUCUGCUUCUGACCAAGACAGAUGGGACAGCCUGUCCCAGUGGGAACACUUCAGGAAGUCAAUGUUACUCAAUUCAACUUAAA